AGGAUAAACGCUGGCGGCGUGCCUAACACAUGCAAGUCGAACGCGCUUUCGUCUUCGGAGGAGAGCGAGUGGCGGACGGGUGAGUAACACAUGGGUACCUACCCCACAGUGAGGGAUACCGGCGAGAAAUCGCCGACAAUACCGCAUAGGCUUCUCUUUGGAGACGAGGAGAAGCAAAGUUGCGCAAGCGACGCUGAGGGAUGGGCCUGUGGCCGAUUAGCUAGUUGGGGGGUAACGGCCUCCCAAGGCUUCGAUCGGUAGCUGGUCUGAGAGGACGAUCAGCCACACUGGGAUUGAGAACGGCCCAGACUCCUACGGGGGGCGAGCAGUGAGGAACUUUUCCGCAAUGGAGGCAACUCUGACGGAGCAACGCCGCGUGCAGGAUGAAGGUUUUCGGAUCGUAAACUGCUUUUCUCGGGGACGAGCAAGGACGGUACCCGAGGAAGAAGCCCCGGCUAACUACGUGCCAGCAGCCGC
rnacentral:rRNA from 1 species